rnacentral:rRNA from 1 species
UACGAAGGGGGCUAGCGUUGCUCGGAAUCACUGGGCGUAAAGGGUGCGUAGGCGGGUCUUUAAGUCAGGGGGGAAAUCCUGGAGCUCAACUCCAGAACUGCCUUUGAUACUGGGGAUCUCGAGUCCGGAAGAGGUGAGUGGAACUCCGAGUGUAGAGGUGAAAUUCGUAGAUAUUCGGAAGAACACCAGUGGCGAAGGCGGCUCACUGGUCCGGUACUGACGCUGAGGUGCGAAAGCGUGGGGAGCAAACAGG